CCCUUAGAUGUUCUGGGCCGCACGCGCGCUACAAUGGCAGACUCAGCGAGUUACCUCUGUCGAAAGGCACAGGGAAUCUUUACAGUAUCUGCCGUGAUGGGGAUAGACCCUUGUAAUUUUUGGUCUUCAACGAGGAAUUCCUAGUAAACGCAAGUCAUUAACUUGCAUUGAUUACGUCCCUGCCCUUUGUACACACCGCCCGUCGCACCUACCGAUUGAAUGGUCCGGUGAAGUCCUCGGACCCAGUUGAACCUCGAGUUGAACAGGGAAAGUUGACUAAAUCUUACCAUUCAGAGGAAGGUGAAGUCGUAACA
rnacentral:rRNA from 1 species